rnacentral:rRNA from 1 species
AGUGAACGCUGGCGGUAGGCCUAACACAUGCAAGUCGAACGGCAGCACAGUAAGAGCUUGCUCUUACGGGUGGCGAGUGGCGGACGGGUGAGGAAUACAUCGGAAUCUACUUUUUCGUGGGGGAUAACGUAGGGAAACUUACGCUAAUACCGCAUACGACCUACGGGUGAAAGCAGGGGAUCUUCGGACCUUGCGCGAUUGAAUGAGCCGAUGUCGGAUUAGCUAGUUGGCGGGGUAAAGGCCCACCAAGGCGACGAUCCGUAGCUGGUCUGAGAGGAUGAUAAGCUACCCUGGAACUGAGACACCGUCCAGGCUCCUCCGGGAGGCACCCGUGGGGAAUGUGGGACAAUGGGCGCAAGCCUGAUCCAGCCCUCCCGCGUGGGUGAAGAAGGCCUUCUGGUUUUAAAGCCCUUUUGUUGGGAAAGAAAAGCAGCAGAUUGAUACCCCGCUGUUCUGACGGUGCCCAAAGAAUAAGCACCGGCUCACUUCGUG